rnacentral:rRNA from 1 species
AUUGAACGCUGGCGGCAGGCUUAACACAUGCAAGUCGAGCGGGGAAAAGUAGCUUGCUACUUAACCUAGCGGCGGACGGGUGAGUAAUGCUUAGGAAUCUGCCUAUUAGUGGGGGACAACAUCUCGAAAGGGAUGCUAAUACCGCAUACGUCCUACGGGAGAAAGCAGGGGACCUUCGGGCCUUGCGCUAAUAGAUGAGCCUAAGUCGGAUUAGCUAGUUGGUGGGGUAAAGGCCUACCAAGGCGACGAUCUGUAGCGGGUCUGAGAGGAUGAUCCGCCACACUGGGACUGAGACACGGUCCAGACUCCUACGGGAGGCAGCAGUGGGGAAUAUUGGACAAUGGGGGGAACCCUGAUCCAGCCAUGCCGCGUGUGUGAAGAAGGCCUUUUGGUUGUAAAGCACUUUAAGCGAGGAGGAGGCUACCGAGAUUAAUACUCUUGGAUAGUGGACGUUACUCGCAGAAUAAGCACCGGCUAACUCUGUGCCAGCCGCCGCGGUAACAC